AGAGUUUGAUCAUGGCUCAGGACGAACGCUGGCGGCGUGCUUAACACAUGCAAGUCGAACGGAAAGGCCCUUCGGGGUACUCGAGUGGCGAACGGGUGAGUAACACGUGGGUGAUCUGCCCUGCACUUUGGGAUAAGCCUGGGAAACUGGGUCUAAUACCGAAUAUGACCAUGCGCCUCCUGGUGUGUGGUGGAAAGCUUUUGCGGUGUGGGAUGGGCCCGCGGCCUAUCAGCUUGUUGGUGGGGUAAUGGCCUACCAAGGCGACGACGGGUAGCCGGCCUGAGAGGGUGACCGGCCACACUGGGACUGAGAUACGGCCCAGACUCCUACGGGAGGCAGCAGUGGGGAAUAUUGCACAAUGGGCGCAAGCCUGAUGCAGCGACGCCGCGUGAGGGAUGACGGCCUUCGGGUUGUAAACCUCUUUCAGCACAGACGAAGCGCAAGUGACGGUAUGUGCAGAAGAAGGACCGGCCAACUACGUGCCAGCAGCCGCGGUAAUACGUAGGGUCCGAGCGUUGUCCGGAAUUACUGGGCGUAAAGAGCUCGUAGGUGGUUUGUCGCGUUGUCCGUGAAAACUCACAGCUUAACUGUGGGCGUGCGGGCGAUACGGGCAGACUUGAGUACUGCAGGGGAGACUGGAAUUCCUGGUGUAGCGGUGGAAUGCGCAGAUAUCAGGAGGAACACCGGUGGCGAAGGCGGGUCUCUGGGUAGUAACUGACGCUGAGGAGCGAAAGCGUGGGGAGCGAACAGGAUUAGAUACCCUGGUAGUCC
rnacentral:rRNA from 1 species